GACGAACGCUGGCGGCGUGCCUAAUACAUGCAAGUAGAACGCACAGUUUAUACCGUAGCUUGCUACACCAUAGACUGUGAGUUGCGAACGGGUGAGUAACGCGUAGGUAACCUGCCUGGUAGCGGGGGAUAACUAUUGGAAACGAUAGCUAAUACCGCAUAAUAUUAAUUAUUGCAUGAUAAUUAAUUGAAAGGUGCAAUUGCACCACUACCAGAUGGACCUGCGUUGUAUUAGCUAGUAGGUGAGGUAACGGCUCACCUAGGCGACGAUACAUAGCCGACCUGGGGGGGUGGUCGGCCACACUGGGACUGGGACACGGCCCAGACUCCUACGGGAGGCAGCAGUAGGGAAUCUUCGGCAAUGGACGAAAGUCUGACCGAGCAACGCCGCGUGAGGGAAGAAGGGUGUCGGAUCGUAAAGCUCUGUUGUAAGAGAAGAACGGGUGUGAGAGUGGAAAGUUCACACUGUGACGGUAUCUUACCAGAAAGGGACGGCUAACUACGUG
rnacentral:rRNA from 1 species